UGGGGAAUAUUGGACAAUGGGGGCAACCCUGAUCCAGCCAUGCCGCGUGUGUGAAGAAGGCCUUUUGGUUGUAAAGCACUUUAAGCAGUGAAGAAGACUUCAUGGUUAAUACCCAUGGACGAUGACAUUAGCUGCAGAAUAAGCACCGGCUAACUCUGUGCCAGCAGCCUCGGUAAUACAGAGGGUGCAAGCGUUAAUCGGAAUUACUGGGCGUAAAGCGAGCGUAGGUGGCUUGAUAAGUCAGAUGUGAAAGCCCCGGGCUUAAACUGGGAACAGCAUCUUAUACUGUUAGGCUAGAGAAGGUGAGAGGAAGGUAGAAUUCCAGGUGUAGAGGUGAAAUGCGUAGAGAUCUGGAGGAAUACCGAUGGCGAAGGCAGCCUUCUGGCAUCAUACUGACACUGAGGUUCGAAAGCGUGGGUAGCAAACA
rnacentral:rRNA from 1 species